UGAGUGCAUGAGAGGCUUGUAAGCAGCUAG
rnacentral:piRNA from 1 species